UACAGAGGGUGCAAGCGUUGUUCGGAAUUAUUGGGCGUAAAGGGCGCGUAGGCGGUGCGGUAAGUCUGUAGUGAAAGCUCGCAGCUUAACUGCGAAACUGCCAUUGAAACUGUCAAGCUUGAAUGUGGUUGAAGUGGGCGGAAUACAACAUGUAGCGGUGAAAUGCUUAGAUAUGUUUUAGAACACCGAUUGCGAAGGCAGCUCACUAAGCCAAUAUUGACGCUGAGGCACGAAAGCGUGGGUAGCGAACAGG
rnacentral:rRNA from 1 species